GCCGGAGUGGCGAAAUGGGUAUACGCAGGGGACUCAAAAUCCCCCGGCUCGAGAGGGCCGUGUGGGUUCGACUCCCACCUCCGGCACCA
rnacentral:tRNA from 1 species